rnacentral:rRNA from 1 species
AUACGGAGGAUCCGAGCGUUAUCCGGAUUUAUUGGGUUUAAAGGGUGCGCAGGCGGGAGAUUAAGUCGGCGGUGAAAUUUUGCAGCUCAACUGUAAAAGUGCCUUCGAAACUGGUUUCCUUGAGUGUAGAUGAAGUAGGCGGAAUUUGUGGUGUAGCGGUGAAAUGCAUAGAUAUCACGAGGAACUCCGAUUGCGCAGGCAGCUUACUAAACUACUACUGACGCUCAGGCACGAAGGCGUGGGGAUCAAACAGGAUUAGAUACCCUGGUAGUCCACGCAGUAAACGAUGAUUACUAGCUGUUUGCGAUACAAUGUAAGCGGCUGAGCGAAAGCGUUAAGUAAUCCACCUGGGGAGUACGUUCGCAAGAAUGAAACUCAAAGGAAUUGACUGGG